GGGGGUGUUUCGGUUUCGACUGUAUCAGGAUUGGAAGGUAAGCGUACCGUAGACCGUGGCUACGUUAUAAAACGGAAAAUUUUAAAAUUAAAUGCUAAUAACAAUUACGCAUUCGCCGCUUAAUUAAAAGCGACUGUCCGCUCUCGUCAUAUCGCGGGGUGAGAAACGGGCAUCAUUUACGCGAUGAACAUUCGGUUUGCUCGGUUCGUGGCAAAUCGGAGGUCUUUAGCGAACUUUUGCGCAGGUUGCCCGCCGAUCGGCUGCUUUGCGAGGAGGUCAAAGGUCGGAUACGUACGUAGAAACCCUUUGGGUCUUAAUGCAACACGGCGGUUCAACUCCGCCCAUCUCCACCA
rnacentral:tmRNA from 1 species